AUUGAACGCUGGCGGCAGGCCUAACACAUGCAAGUCGAACGAGUGGCGGACGGGUGAGUAAUGUCUGGGAAACUGCCUGAUGGAGGGGGAUAACUACUGGAAACGGUAGCUAAUACCGCAUACCAUCAGAUGUGCCCAGAUGGGAUUAUCUAGUUGGUGGGGUAACGGCUCACCAAGGCGACGAUCCCUAGCUGGUCUGAGAGGAUGACCAGACAAACUGGAACAGAGAAACGGUCCAGACUCCGACGGGAGGCAGCAGUGGGGAAUAUUGAACAAUGGGAGCAAGACUGAUGCAGCCAUGACGCGUGUAUGAAGAAGGUCUUCGGGUUGUAAAGUACUUUCAGCGGGGAGGCGUUACCCGCAGAAGAAGCACCGGCUAACUCCGUGCCAGCCGCCGCGGUAAUUC
rnacentral:rRNA from 1 species